rnacentral:misc_RNA from 1 species
ACACCCCUCAAGCUCAGCUUGGUGUUGGGACCCCCACAGCGCAUGUAGGCCCCUAAAAGGAGUGGCGGGCUCGCCAGUACCCGAGCGCAGUAGUUUUCUUCUCGCUUAGGGCCUCAUGGCGGGUGUUUUGCCGUAAAACCCCCAACUUUUUAGU